CCUGGUGGCUCAGACGGUAAGGCAUCUGCCUGUAAUGCAGGAGACCUGGGUUCAAUCCCUGGGUCAGGA
rnacentral:tRNA from 1 species